AGAGUUUGAUCCUGGCUCAGGAUGAACGCUAGCUACAGGCUUAACACAUGCAAGUCGAGGGGCAGCAUUUUAGUUUGCUUGCAAACUGAAGAUGGCGACCGGCGCACGGGUGAGUAACACGUAUCCAACCUGCCGAUAACUCGGGGAUAGCCUUUCGAAAGAAAGAUUAAUAUCCGAUAGUAUAUUAAAACCGCAUGGUUUUACUAUUAAAGAAUUUCGGUUAUCGAUGGGGAUGCGUUCCAUUAGUUUGUUGGCGGGGUAACGGCCCACCAAGACUACGAUGGAUAGGGGUUCUGAGAGGAAGGUCCCCCACAUUGGAACUGAGACACGGUCCAAACUCCUACGGGAGGCAGCAGUGAGGAAUAUUGGUCAAUGGACGAGAGUCUGAACCAGCCAAGUAGCGUGAAGGAUGACUGCCCUAUGGGUUGUAAACUUCUUUUAUAUGGGAAUAAAGUAUUCCACGUGUGGGAUUUUGUAUGUACCAUAUGAAUAAGGAUCGGCUAACUCCGUGCCAGCAGCCGCGGUAAUACGGAGGAUCCGAGCGUUAUCCGGAUUUAUUGGGUUUAAAGGGAGCGUAGGUGGAUUGUUAAGUCAGUUGUGAAAGUUUGCGGCUCAACCGUAAAAUUGCAGUUGAAACUGGGAGUCUUGAGUACAGUAGAGGUGGGCGGAAUUCGUGGUGUAGCGGUGAAAUGCUUAGAUAUCACGAAGAACUCCGAUUGCGAAGGCAGCUCACUAGACUGUCACUGACACUGAUGCUCGAAAGUGUGGGUAUCAAACAGGAUUAGAUACCCUGGUAGUCCACACAGUAAACGAUGAAUACUCGCUGUUUGCGAUAUACAGUAAGCGGCCAAGCGAAAGCAUUAAGUAUUCCACCUGGGGAGUACGCCGGCAACGGUGAAACUCAAAGGAAUUGACGGGGGCCCGCACAAGCGGAGGAACAUGUGGUUUAAUUCGAUGAUACGCGAGGAACCUUACCCGGGCUUAAAUUGCAACAGAAUAUAUUGGAAACAGUAUAGCCGUAAGGCUGUUGUGAAGGUGCUGCAUGGUUGUCGUCAGCUCGUGCCGUGAGGUGUCGGCUUAAGUGCCAUAACGAGCGCAACCCUUAUCUUUAGUUACUAACAGGUCAUGCUGAGGACUCUAGAGAGACUGCCGUCGUAAGAUGUGAGGAAGGUGGGGAUGACGUCAAAUCAGCACGGCCCUUAUGUCCGGGGCUACACACGUGUUACAAUGGGGGGUACAGAAGGCGGCUACCUGGUGACAGGAUGCUAAUCCCAAAAACCUCUCUCAGUUCGGAUCGAAGUCUGCAACCCGACUUCGUGAAGCUGGAUUCGCUAGUAAUCGCGCAUCAGCCAUGGCGCGGUGAAUACGUUCCCGGGCCUUGUACACACCGCCCGUCAAGCCAUGAAAGCCGGGGGUACCUGAAGUACGUAACCGCAAGGAGCGUCCUAGGGUAAAACUGGUAAUUGGGGCUAAGUCGUAACAAGGUA
rnacentral:rRNA from 1 species